rnacentral:rRNA from 1 species
UAGGGAAUCUUGCGCAAUGGGCGAAAGCCUGACGCAGCGACGCCGCGUGCGGGAAGAAGGCCUUCGGGUUGUAAACCGCUUUCAGGAGGGACGAAGCCACUCGGGUUAACAGCCCAGAGGGUGACGGUACCUCCAGAAGAAGCCCCGGCUAACUACGUGCCAGCAGCCGCGGUAAUACGUAGGGGGCAAGCGUUGUCCGGAUUCAUUGGGCGUAAAGAGCGUGUAGGCGGUCAGGUAGGUCGGUUGUGAAAACUGGAGGCUCAACCUUCAGAGGUCGACCGAAACCCCCUGGCUAGAGUCCGGGAGAGGAGAGUGGAAUUCCUGGUGUAGCGGUGAAAUGCGCAGAUAUCAGGAAGAACACCCGUGGCGAAAGCGGCUCUCUGGAACGGUACUGACGCUGAGACGCGAAAGCGUGGGGAGCGAACAGGAUUAGAUACCCUGGUAGUCCACGCCGUAAACGAUGGGCGCUAGGUGUGGGAGGUGUCGACUCCUUCCGUGCCGAAGCUAACGCAUUAAGCCG